GUGCCAGCCGCCGCGGUAAGACGAACCGUGCGAACGUUAUUCGGAAUCACUGGGCUUAAAGCGCGUGUAGGCGGAUGGGGACGUCGGUCGCUGAAAUCCCCCGGCUCAACCGGGGAACUGGCCCCGAAACGCCCCGUCUGGAGGAACGUAGGGGGACCUGGAACUUCCGGUGGAGCGGUGAAAUGCGUUGAGAUCGGAAGGAACGCCCGUGGCGAAAGCGAGGUCCUGGACGUUUUCUGACGCUGAGACGCGAAAGCUAGGGUAGCGAACGGGAUUAGAUACCCCUGUAGUCC
rnacentral:rRNA from 1 species